GAGCCACCUCCAUUACGUUGCAGCUAUCUUUAGGGAAGACAAUAAUUAUCGUGGUUUUGUGAGUGAAGCUGUAGAAAAGGAAGCAUGUGGGAGAUUAGAGGGACGCACUGGAGGAAGGAAAGCCAUUUUGGUCCAAGAGGUUUUUACACGAUCGAACUUCAUAAUUAGAAGAGAAUGAAGGCGUUAGAGACAUGGUUAAGAGGGGAACAUCCUGGCAGGAAGAAAUGCCUGACUAAGAAACUAGCUUGUGUUACACUCUGGAUCUGAAAGGUCACCAGAAACUGGUGGUCCCCAUUGUAGCAGAGUUCAGAAGUGAAACCUUUGGAAGGUGAUUGGAUCAUGAGGGCUUUAACUUUAUCAGCGGAUCAAUCCACGGAUGAAUUCAUACUCUGAUGGCAUCAUCGGGAGGUGUCAGAGACUCCAGGAGAUCCAGCCUAGUGGGAGAAGUGCUUCAUCGAAAUCUGGCCCUGGAAGCUUUGAAUCUGGCUUCUGUGACUUGAGUUGGACAGUGGAGCACAGCUGGCCAUGACGAACAUGCAGCAUGCAGAACCUUUGAAUGUUGUGGUUGUAAGUGCAUUCACCUUGCUCUCUCCUACGGACACAAACAGAAGGCAUGCUUCAUCUUUGAGCACCUCUGUCAACUUGGGUCCCCGUGUAAGAUGACUUGUAAAGCCUACCCUAGCAGAACUGGAGAAAUAUGGGUUAAUAAUAGUAGUGGUCCAUUUAUUAUUACAAUAGAAUAAAUAGUUUUUGCUGGAGUAUCAGAGUCUGUGGCAGGCAUUGUUUCACACCUCUAUCUAUCCUGAGGGAAUGGAAUUAGAGAGCUUAAAUAAAGUUUGUUUUUUCCCUGAGCUAGAAGUAGCAGAGUUGGGAAAUGAACCUGUUGACUCUAAAAUCAGUGUUCUUCCCCUUGUCAUGAUGCCACCUG